AUGGUUAAGUUAGAAAGGGCGCACGGUGAAUGCCUUGGCACUAGGAGCCGAUGAAGGACGGGACUAACACCGAUAUGCUUCGGGGAGCUGUAAGUGAGCUUUGAUCCGGAGAUUUCCGAAUGGGGAAACCCACUGUUCGUAAUGGAGCAGUAUCUUUAUCUGAAUACAUAGGAUAUUGAAGGCAGACCCGGGGAACUGAAACAUCUAAGUACCCGGAGGAAGAGAAAGCAAAUGCGAUUUCCUGAGUAGCGGCGAGCGAAACGGAAUUAGCCCAAACCAAGAGGCUUGCCUCUUGGGGUUGUAGGACACUCUAUACGGAGUUACAAAGGAACGAAGUAAAUGAAGCGACCUGGAAAGGUCCGUCGAAGAAGGUAACAACCCUGUAGUUGAAACUUCGUUCCCUCUUGAGUGGAUCCUGAGUACGGCGGAACACGUGAAAUUCCGUCGGAAGCUGGGAGGACCAUCUCCCAAGGCUAAAUACUACCUAGUGACCGAUAGUGAACCAGUACCGUGAGGGAAAGGUGAAAAGCACCCCGGAAGGGGGAGUGAAAGAGAUCCUGAAACCGUGUGCCUACAAGUAGUCAGAGCCCGUUAACGGGUGAUGGCGUGCCUUUGUAGAAUGAACCGGCGAGUUACGAUCCCAUGCAAGGUUAAGCUGAUAAGGCGGAGCCGUAGCGAAAGCGAGUCUGAAUAGGGCGUUUAGUAUGUGGUUGUAGACCCGAAACCAGGUGAUCUACCCAUGUCCAGGGUGAAGUUCAGGUAACACUGAAUGGAGGCCCGAACCCACGCACGUUGAAAAGUGCGGGGAUGAGGUGUGGGUAGCGGAGAAAUUCCAAUCGAACCUGGAGAUAGCUGGUUCUCUCCGAAAUAGCUUUAGGGCUAGGCUCAUGUUGUGAGAGGCUUGGAGGUAGAGCACUGAUUGGACUAGGGGCCCCCAACGGGUUACCGAAUUAAGUCAAACUCCGAAUGCCAAAGACUUAUCCAUGGGAGUCAGACUGCGAGUGAUAAGAUCCGUAGUCAAAAGGGAAACAGCCCAGACCACCAGCUAAGGUCCCCAAGUAUACGUUAAGUGGAAAAGGAUGUGGAGUUGCUUAGACAACCAGGAUGUUGGCUUAGAAGCAGCCACCAUUUAAAGAGUGCGUAAUAGCUCACUGGUCGAGUGACUCUGCGCCGAAAAUGUACCGGGGCUAAACGUAUCACCGAAGCUGUGGAUUGACAUCUUUGAUGUCAGUGGUAGGAGAGCGUUCUAAGUGCUGUGAAGUCAGACCGGAAGGACUGGUGGAGCGCUUAGAAGUGAGAAUGCCGGUAUGAGUAGCGAAAGACAAGUGAGAAUCUUGUCCACCGAAUGCCUAAGGUUUCCUGAGGAAGGCUCGUCCGCUCAGGGUUAGUCGGGACCUAAGCCGAGGCUGAAAAGCGUAGGCGAUGGCCAACAGGUUGAUAUUCCUGUACCACCUCCCCGCCGUUUGAGUAAUGGGGGGACGCAGUAGGAUAGGGUAAGCGCGCUGCUGGAUAUGCGCGUUCAAGCAGUUAGGCUGAUGAGUAGGCAAAUCCGCUCAUCAUAAAGGCUGAGCUGUGAUGACGAGGGAAUUAUAGUACCGAAGUUCCUGAUUCCACACUGCCAAGAAAAGCCUCUAGCGAGGCGGGAGGUGCCCGUACCGCAAACCGACACAGGUAGGCGAGGAGAGAAUCCUAAGGUGAUCGAGAGAACUCUCGUUAAGGAACUCGGCAAAAUGACCCCGUAACUUCGGGAGAAGGGGUGCUCUGGUAGGGUGUAUAGCCCGAGAGAGCCGCAGUGAAUAGGCCCAGGCGACUGUUUAGCAAAAACACAGGUCUCUGCGAAGCCGCAAGGCGAAGUAUAGGGGCUGACGCCUGCCCGGUGCUGGAAGGUUAAGAGGAGGGGUUAUCCUUCGGGAGAAGCUCUGAAUCGAAGCCCCAGUAAACGGCGGCCGUAACUAUAACGGUCCUAAGGUAGCGAAAUUCCUUGUCGGGUAAGUUCCGACCCGCACGAAAGGCGUAACGAUCUGGGCACUGUCUCAACGAGAGACUCGGUGAAAUUAUAGUACCUGUGAAGAUGCAGGUUACCCGCGACAGGACGGAAAGACCCCGUGGAGCUUUACUGUAGCCUGAUAUUGAAUUUUGGUACAGCUUGUACAGGAUAGGUAGGAGCCUGAGAAGCCGGAGCGCUAGCUUCGGUGGAGGCGUCGGUGGGAUACUACCCUGGCUGUAUUGAAAUUCUAACCCGCGGCCCUGAUCGGGCCGGGAGACAGUGUCAGGUGGGCAGUUUGACUGGGGCGGUCGCCUCCUAAAAUGUAACGGAGGCGCCCAAAGGUUCCCUCAGAAUGGUUGGAAAUCAUUCGUAGAGUGUAAAGGCACAAGGGAGCUUGACUGCGAGACCUACAAGUCGAGCAGGGACGAAAGUCGGGCUUAGUGAUCCGGUGGUUCCGCAUGGAAGGGCCAUCGCUCAACGGAUAAAAGCUACCCCGGGGAUAACAGGCUUAUCUCCCCCAAGAGUCCACAUCGACGGGGAGGUUUGGCACCUCGAUGUCGGCUCAUCGCAUCCUGGGGCUGUAGUCGGUCCCAAGGGUUGGGCUGUUCGCCCAUUAAAGCGGUACGCGAGCUGGGUUCAGAACGUCGUGAGACAGUUCGGUCCCUAUCCGUCGUGGGCGUAGGAAAUUUGAGAGGAGCUGUCCUUAGUACGAGAGGACCGGGAUGGACACACCGCUGGUGUACCAGUUGUCUUGCCAAAGGCAUCGCUGGGUAGCUAUGUGUGGACGGGAUAAGUGCUGAAAGCAUCUAAGCAUGAAGCCCCCCUCAAGAUGAGAUUUCCCAUAGCGCAAGCUAGUAAGAUCCCUGAAAGAUGAUCAGGUUGAUAGGUCAGAGGUGGAAGCGUGGCGACAUGUGUAGCUGACUGAUACUAAUCGAUCGAGGACUUAACCAAAC
rnacentral:rRNA from 1 species